GUGGGUGCAGCUCAGAGGUAGAGCGCCUGCUUAGCAUGCAAGAGGUCCUGGGUUCAGUCCCCAGCACUUCCU
rnacentral:tRNA from 1 species